CCUACGGGUGUCAGCAGUGAGGAAUAUUGGUCAAUGGACGAGAGUCUGAACCAGCCAAGUAGCGUGAAGGAUGACUGCCCUAUGGGUUGUCAACUUCUUUUAUAUGGGAAUAAGAGGUGCCACGGUGGUGAUUUUGUAUGUACCAUAUGAAUAAGGAUCGGCUAACUCCGUGCCAUCGGCCGGUGUAAUACGGAGGAUCCGAGCGUUAUCCGGAUUUAUGGGGUUUAAAGGGAUCGUAUGUGGAUUGUUAAGUCAGUUGUGAAAGUUUGCGGCUCAACCGUAAAAUUGCAGUUGAAACUGGCAGUCUUGAGUACAGUAGAGGUGGGCGGAAUUCGUGGUGUAGCGGUGAAAUGCUUAGAUAUCACGAAGAACUCCGAUUGCGAAGGCAGUUCACUGGACUGCAACUGACACUGAGGCUCGAAAGUGUGGGUAUCAAACAGGAUUAGAUACCCUGGUAGUC
rnacentral:rRNA from 1 species